rnacentral:rRNA from 1 species
UAGGGAAUCUUCGGCAAUGGACGGAAGUCUGACCGAGCAACGCCGCGUGAGUGAAGAAGGUUUUCGGAUCGUAAAGCUCUGUUGUAAGAGAAGAACGAGUGUGAGAGUGGAAAGUUCACACUGUGACGGUAUCUUACCAGAAAGGGACGGCUAACUACGUGCCUGCAGCCGCGGUAAUACGUAGGUCCCGAGCGUUGUCCGGAUUUAUUGGGCGUAAAGCGAGCGCAGGCGGUUAGAUAAGUCUGAAGUUAAAGGCUGUGGCUUAACCAUAGUACGCUUUGGAAACUGUUUAACUUGAGUGCAAGAGGGGAGAGUGGAAUUCCAUGUGUAGCGGUGAAAUGCGUAGAUAUAUGGAGGAACACCGGUGGCGAAAGCGGCUCUCUGGCUUGUAACUGACGCUGAGGCUCGAAAGCGUGGGGAGCAAACAGGAUUAGAUACCCUGGUAGUCCACGCCGUAAACGAUGAGUGCUAGGUGUUAGACCCUUUCCGGGGUUUAGUGCCGCAGCUAACGCAUUAAGCACUCCGCCUGGGGAGUACGACCGCAAGGUUG